CCUACGGGAGGCAGCAGUCGAGAAUCAUUCACAAUGGGGGAAACCCUGAUGGUGCGACGCCGCGUGGGGGAAUGAAGGUCUUCGGAUUGUAAACCCCUGUCAUGUGGGAGCAAAUUAAAAAGAUAGUACCACAAGAGGAAGAGACGGCUAACUCUGUGCCAGCAGCCGCGGUAAUACAGAGGUCUCAAGCGUUGUUCGGAAUCACGGGGCGUAAAGCGUGCGUAGGCUGUUUCGUAAGUCGUGUGUGAAAGGCGCGGGCUCAACCCGCGGACGGCACAUGAUACUGCGAGACUAGAGUAAGGGAGGGGGAAGCGGAAUUCUCGGUGUAGCAGUGAAAUGCGUAGAUAUCGAGAGGAACACUCGUGGCGAAGGCGGGUUCCUGGACAUUAACUGACGCUGAGGCACGAAGGCCAGGGGAGCGAAAGGGAUUAGAUACCCGAGUAGUC
rnacentral:rRNA from 1 species